ACUGCAUCGCAUCGCAAUCGACGUAAUGAUCACGUUGCAGAAUGGCCGCUCGCACGAAGUUCGCGUUAACGUUUCAGAGCAUGCUAGGGGUUCCGUGUCUCGUUUGAUAAGAUAAACCUUUGUUGAUAAGUAAUGCCCUUAACAUUAACGCACCUACCGCUCAGACGUUUGCGCGAUGAUUGUUGCCUAUUUGUACCUUCUUUUGUUUUGUUUUGUGAAAUGGCGCACGACUCGGGAUAAAAGCCGUUUACCUUCGUCUCCUACCCACGGUUGAAAAGUGAUGGAAAUGUUCUACGUUUUGCUCAGUUCUUGUAACAAGCACCUAUUUCUAAUAUUUUUCACUGCUACUGUUGUCGGGACGACGUGGCCGGCCGGCAACUGUCAAGUAUCGGGCAUCGCUUCAGGGGCGCCUCUACCACUGCCACCAAUGUGAUUAUGCAACCCACAAACCAUCGAACCUUGUAGCACACAAUCGCAUUCACACAGGCGAGCGGCCAUUUCACUGCCACUUAUGCCCCCAGAGCUUCGCACACAAAUGCCAGCUCACGGUACAUGUGCGCCUGCACAAAGGCGAGCGACCGUACCAGUGCCCCAUCUGCCCCUUGGCCUUUCUGCAGGCCAGUCAAAUGAAAUGUCACUUGAGGAGUCGUCACCGUGAUGCUACAUAGUGAGACAGUGUGUGUGUUGUUGGUAGUUGGUGCUCCAUGACUACGAGUGGUACAGUGCGAUUUCGGACACAGCCGGAAGAAAGUACACGCACAAGGACCCUUCGACUGAAAUUCGAUAAUGAUGUAAGUGGGGUUCAUGUACAAAUUGGCACAAGGAAAGCCAAUACCCAAACUCGUGUGAGCCCUUGGUAGUUGCAGUUCAUGUACAGCAAUAGCUGGGGGACGCAGGCGCCUUUUCAAGAUACUUAAGAUACAUUAGCACUUUUAGCAGUGGUGCGUAGAUCUUACAGAAAUCCACCCAAUGUGAUGUGUGUUCCUGGUUUGAAAAGGUAUUGAGAGCUGGGUUUACUGAAUUGCCUGACCAUACAAGACGCCGUGACCAGUUUCACAAAGGUGCCCACGUCUCUCUCUGAAGAUAAGAUUCAGUAUUCCAGAGGAUAUUUAAAUCAUCACCGAUGCUCUACUGUUGUGUUGUGUGGUGAGCUUGUGUUGUUUGGACCCUUGUGUGCUUCCCUGGAGAGGCACCACCCUGCAUCAAGAUUUGCUGACACCACCUCGCCCCAUGGGCUCAUGCCACCAGAGUGAGUACAUUCCUUGCAUCUCAUGCACUAGCAUGGCUGUUCUGCGCCACGGUGCCACUUCUCUCACUUGCAUUUCUGCCUGCUACAUAACAUAGUAUGUUGCUAUGUAUAUGGCGCUGCACUUGAAAUACUUACUGAUACUAAGUGUGAUAUUACGCAGGCACAAUCUAGCUUGGAAGAACCAUAGUAUAAAGCUGUCAUUAUCAAUCUCAAACCACAUAGCAAUAAAAGUAUUGACUUACAUCACACAUCUUUUACACUAAGAAAGAAA
rnacentral:lncRNA from 1 species